CGCGUAGGUAACCUGCCUUGUAGCGGGGGAUAACUAUUGGAAACGAUAGCUAAUACCGCAUAACAAUGGAUGACACAUGUCAUUUAUUUGAAAGGGGCAAAUGCUCCACUACAAGAUGGACCUGCGUUGUAUUAGCUAGUAGGUGAGGUAACGGCUCACCUAGGCGACGAUACAUAGCCGACCUGAGAGGGUGAUCGGCCACACUGGGACUGAGACACGGCCCAG
rnacentral:rRNA from 1 species